rnacentral:rRNA from 1 species
AGAGUUUGAUCCUGGCUCAGGACGAACGCUGGCGGCGUGCCUAAUACAUGCAAGUCGAACGCUUCUUUUUCCACCGGAGCUUGCUCCAUCGGAAAAAGAGGAGUGGCGAACGGGUGAGUAACACGUGGGUAACCUGCCCAUCAGAAGGGGAUAACACUUGGAAACAGGUGCUAAUACCGUAUAACAAUCGAAACCGCAUGGUUUUGAUUUGAAAGGCGCUUUCGGGUGUCGCUGAUGGAUGGACCCGCGGUGCAUUAGCUAGUUGGUGAGGUAACGGCUCACCAAGGCGACGAUGCAUAGCCGACCUGAGAGGGUGAUCGGCCACAUUGGGACUGAGACACGGCCCAAACUCCUACGGGAGGCAGCAGUAGGGAAUCUUCGGCAAUGGACGAAAGUCUGACCGAGCAACGCCGCGUGAGUGAAGAAGGUUUUCGGAUCGUAAAACUCUGUUGUUAGAGAAGAACAAGGAUGAGAGUAACUGUUCAUCCCUUGACGGUAUCUAACCAGAAAGCCACGGCUAACUACGUGCCAGCAGCCGCGGUAAUACGUAGGUGGCAAGCGUUGUCCGGAUUUAUUGGGCGUAAAGCGAGCGCAGGCGGUUUCUUAAGUCUGAUGUGAAAGCCCCCGGCUCAACCGGGGAGGGUCAUUGGAAACUGGGAGACUUGAGUGCAGAAGAGGAGAGUGGAAUUCCAUGUGUAGCGGUGAAAUGCGUAGAUAUAUGGAGGAACACCAGUGGCGAAGGCGGCUCUCUGGUCUGUAACUGACGCUGAGGCUCGAAAGCGUGGGGAGCAAAACAGGAUUAGAUACCCUGGUAGUCCACGCCGUAAACGAUGAGUGCUAAGUGUUGGAGGGUUUCCGCCCUUCAGUGCUGCAGCUAACGCAUUAAGCACUCCGCCUGGGGAGUACGACCGCAAGGUUGAAACUCAAAGGAAUUGACGGGGGCCCGCACAAGCGGUGGAGCAUGUGGUUUAAUUCGAAGCAACGCGAAGAACCUUACCAGGUCUUGACAUCCUUUGACCACUCUAGAGAUAGAGCUUCCCCUUCGGGGGCAAAGUGACAGGUGGUGCAUGGUUGUCGUCAGCUCGUGUCGUGAGAUGUUGGGUUAAGUCCC